UCCAACUUAUCGCUGGCGGUCUCCUGAGAGUUCCCAACUUAAUGAUGGCAACACAGGACAAGGGUUGCGCUCGUUGCGGGACUUAACCCAACAUCUCACGACACGAGCUGACGACAGCCAUGCAGCACCUCGACUGGACCCCCUUGCGGAGUAGCGAUGUUUCCACCGCCGUUGACCAGCCGUUCGAGCCCAGGUAAGGUGGGGAUGACGUUCGUCUGAC
rnacentral:misc_RNA from 1 species